ACCCAAUAGAUACCCAGGUAGUCUACGCCGUAAACGAUGCGCACUAGGUUCGAGGGUCCCUGACGACUCUCGAGCCGAAAAAUAAAAAAACGAUAAGUGCGCCGCCUGGGGAGUACGGCCGCAAGGCUAAAACUCAAAGGAAUUGACGGGGGCUCACACAAGCGGUGGAGCAUGUGGAUCAAUUCGAAGCAACGCGAAGAACCUUACCUGGGUUUGACAUGCACGGAUGCCGUCCAUGAAAGUGGAGCCGGCUGCCUUCGGGUGAAACGUGUACAGGUGCUGCAUGGCUGUCGUCAGCUCGUGCUGUGAAGUGUCGGGUUUAAGUCCCUUAACGAGCGAAACCCUUAUCUCUAGUUGCCAACGGGUCAUGCCGGGAACUCUAGUGAGACUGCCGGCGUUAAGCCGGAGGAAGGUGGGGAGUGACGUCAAGUCAUCAUGGCUUAUGCCAGGGUGUCACACGUGCUACAAUGGGUCGGUACAGAGCGAAGCAAAGACCGCGAGGUAGAGCAAAUACGCAGAAACGACUCCUCAGUUCGGA
rnacentral:rRNA from 1 species